rnacentral:rRNA from 1 species
GAUGAACGCUGGCGGCGUGCCUAAUACAUGCAAGUCGAGCGAACAGACGAGGAGCUUGCUCCUCUGACGUUAGCGGCGGACGGGUGAGUAACACGUGGAUAACCUACCUAUAAUACUGGGAUAACUUCGGGAAACCGGAGCUAAUACCGGAUAAUAUAUUGAACCGCAUGGUUCAAUAGUGAAAGACGGUUUUGCUGUCUCUUAUAGAUGGAUCCGCGCCGUAUUAGCUAGUUGGUAAGGUAACGGCUUACCAAGGCUACGAUGCGUAGCCGAACUGAGAGGGUGAUCGGCCGCCCUGGAACUGAGACGCGGACCAGACUCCUACGGGAGGCAGCAGUAGGGAAUCGGCCGCAAUAGGCGAAAGCCUGACGGAGCAACGCCGCGUGAGUGAUGAAGGUCUUCGGAUCGGAAAACUCUGUUAUUAGGGAAGAACAAAUGUGUAAGUAACUAUGCACGUCUUGACGGUACCUGAUCAGAAAGCCACGGCUAACUACGUG